UGAGGUUCCGUCAAGUGUGAAUCCACCUUUAUAUUGAUGUUCCGUGCGAACUGCUGACGUUAUUGCAGUCUGGGAUUAUUUGGUAAUAGCUAUGAGACUACGAACUAUCGAUAGUUUCUUCGACUUUCAACUCAUAUAUUAUCUAUGGCUCACAAACCGCCAGUUUUGUUUGGGUGGUGUUUUGAUUUGGUUGUAUGUUUAUCCAACCUACUUUGCAGUCUGCAAUAGUCAGUGGUACGAGGAGUGUGUGCCGUUGAUAACAACUGUGACUGUUGCUUCAAGAUUGUAUACGACUUACAAACCACCAGUUUUGUGUGUGAUGAUUUAGUAUCUAAAAUGCUUGUCAACACGUAAAGUUUGUUUUUUGUAAUCGUACAGAGUAAUUUAAAUGGAUCCUCCACAAUAUCUAGACAGCCAAGCAUUGUUGAAAGGAGAGUAUGAGACACAAUUUUUCGGAUUUUCCUCGAGAGUUUUAUUCGUGCACCUGAAGGACUGCAUAAAUGAUAUUUUUAGUAGUCAUGCAACAAGUUUACAAGAUUCCUUGAUAAAGAAACGGGGAUGUGAUGAAAAUGAAGCUAAAUCUGCAACAGACAUGUUGAUCCGUAAGUGUGAAUGUGCUCUUCAAGCACAUAGUGAUGAUUUGCAGCCUGUGAUUCGAAUUUUGGAAUUCCAAAUGGUGUUUUGCUACCUGAAGAUAAUGCACAGAAAGUUCAAUAUUCAAGUGAAGAAGCUGAAAAUCUUGAGAAAGAGUUAGAUUGUCUGAUGACUAGGUUAACCAGGGCAAAGGCCAUGAAAUGCCAUUUGGCCAGUGAAUUAGAGGAAUUUGAAAAAUUGAAACCCGUAAUAGAAAAGAUGCACAAUCUAAGACUGGAAGUAUUAAAGAAUUUGGUUAAACAAGUGACGCAACAUGAACAGCAAUUGAAGAGACUAUCGAAAGUGUCAAAAUCAAUCUGUUCAGUUACCAGCAAAACAACAAUGGAUAAAACAGACUUUCCUCAUAAAUUAGUGAAAGACAAAUUCCGUUGUUCCCCUCCUGAAUAGUCACAUACUAGUGUCUGAAAUUUGUUUCUGUACUGUGCUAAAUUUUUUUAUCAGUGGACUCUUUAAUUUGUUUUGUAUCCAUAUUUACUUUGCUCAGCUGUUCAUUUACCUCAUUCCUCACUAAAUCACGCUUCUUGAUUAUCUCAGACUGUGAGCCGCCUUUUAACUUUUGUAUAGUGGAUUUUAAUUUUAGUAUUUUUUGAUUUAUCUGAGCCUUAUCCUGAGUCUGAGUCUUAGAAAUAUGUUCUUCCGACUUAUUGGCUUAGUUGUAUUCAAUUUGAAAUUCAGGUCUGUAAUUAAGUUAUACUUUAGCAUUAGUUAUAUCCAGCUUGACAUUUACGUCAGUAAGAACAUUUUCAAACUCUAGCAUUUAAGUUACUGUUUAGUACAGGAGGAGCAGAUAUUUCCUCUCACAAAGUUGCUGCAAUUGCCAUCUCGUGUUGAAGAUGUGUGUCGUCCCUCGGCAUGGCUCACCACAUGAAAAUAAAAGUAAAAACCCCACACAACUCCUGUACCUUUACACUUGACACCAAAUUUUGUAACUCUUCAGUUGCGAUUAUCAUUUGUUGAUAAGGAGGUGUAGGGAUACUCAUCACUCCUUUGGAGUAGUAUACAGGGUGUCCUAAAAAAAAAAAACACUGGUAAGGUUUAGGGACAGGUCCCUGAUACAUAA